rnacentral:rRNA from 1 species
UACGUAGGGGGCAAGCGUUGUCCGGAAUCAUUGGGCGUAAAGCGCGUGUAGGCGGCUCGGUAAGUCCGCUCUGAAAGUCCGGGGCUCAACCCCGGGAGGCGGGUGGAUACUGUCGAGCUAGAGUCCGGAAGAGGCGAGUGGAAUUCCUGGUGUAGCGGUGAAAUGCGCAGAUAUCAGGAGGAACACCAAUGGCGAAGGCAGCUCGCUGGGACGGUACUGACGCUGAGACGCGAAAGCGUGGGGAGCGAACAGG